rnacentral:lncRNA from 1 species
GAGAGAGAGCUGGCAGCUUCCCAGCCUGGGCUUCGUCUGUGCCCCAGGCCCCAGCUCUAUCCGGACCUGGCUGUGACUUGAAUUCCAGGAGACUGCAGUGACGAUCAGGUCAAUGCCUCUUUCUGCUCAGGCUGAUUUGUACGAGGUCAGCUCUAUUCCAUGUGGGAAGGUGAGACUACCGAGAGGUAAAAACCAUUUGGGACUCCAAUCAGCUUGGCGGCUUCCUACUCUACUACAAGUGUCAUUGAGAAAACGAAUUCUAUGUAAAAGAACAGGAAGAAAAAAAUGACCAAGUUCUUGGGAAAACCAUUAACUCUUCAGAAAGUACCAUUGUCUCUAUCUGAAAAUGCACCGUGGCAGGAUAUUCUCAAGGUGUUAAAGUCAACAUAUUAUCUAUCCAGCAGCCAUUCUUCCAGAAAGCUUCAUGUAGAGUUGGAACACCAACAGGUACUGAAUUCCAAAAAUUGGGAAGGGAGCCCACGUCUGGCUGACAAAUGAGCAAUCAUGUUAGGUGUAAGAAUCGCAAAGCCAAUUUUCUACAGAGAUUCCGAAACAGGGG